rnacentral:rRNA from 1 species
AUUGAACGCUGGCGGCAUGCCUAACACAUGCAAGUCGAACGGUAACGCGGGGGCAACCCUGGCGACGAGUGGCGGACGGGUGAGUAAUACGUAGGAAUCUGCCCAUUUGUGGGGGAUAACCCGGCGAAAGCCGGGCUAAUACCGCAUACGCUCUACGGAGGAAAGCAGGGGAUCGUAAGACCUUGCGCUAAUGGAUGAGCCUACGUCGGAUUAGCUAGUUGGUAGGGUAACGGCCUACCAAGGCGACGAUCCGUAGCUGGUCUGGGAGGACGAUCGGCCACACGGAGACUGAGACACGGCCCAGACUCGUAAGGGAGGCAGCAGUGGGGAAUAUUGGACAAUGGGGGCAACCCUGAUCCAGCAAUGCCGCGUGUGCGAAGAAGGCCUGCGGGUUGUAAAGCACUUUCAGAGGGGAAGAAAAAAUCGGAGCUAACACCUCCGAGCUUGACGUUACCCUUAGAAGAAGCACCGGCUAACUCCGUGCCAGCCGCCGCGGUAA